rnacentral:rRNA from 1 species
GAUGAACGCUGGCGUCGUGCCUAAUACAUGCAAGUCGAGCGAACGGACGAGAAGCUUGCUUCUCUGAUGUUAGCGGCGGACGGGUGAGUAACACGUGGAUAACCUACCUAUAAGACUGGGAUAACUUCGGGAAACCGGUGCUAAUACCGGAUAAUAUUUUGAACCGCAUGGUUCAAAAGUGAAAGACGGUCUUGCUGUCACUUAUAGAUGGAUCCGCGCUGCAUUAGCUAGUUGGUAAGGUAACGGCUUACCAAGGCAACGAUGCAUAGCCGACCUGAGAGGGUGAUCGGCCACACUGGAACUGAGACACGGUCCAGACUCCUACGGGAGGCAGCAGUAGGGAAUCUUCCGCAAUGGGCGAAAGCCUGACGGAGCAACGCCGCGUGAGUGAUGAAGGUCUUCGGAUCGUAAAACUCUGUUAUUAGGGAAGAACAUAUGUGUAAGUAACUGUGCACAUCUUGACGGUACCUAAUCAGAAAGCCACGGCUAACUACGUG